CUCAAUAACCAUAAACACACCUUCCCAUAUCUCUUUGAUCCAUUUUACGAAGUGCAUCGUUACAAAAGAGAGAAAUACCUCUUCAUUUCAAUACCACGAAGCAUCUGCCUCUCCAACCUUCAAUUUUUACUAACAACAAAUUUGCAGAAGAAAAUAAAUGCAGCAUCCAUCACCAAUGGGUACAACAAAACCAUGGAGAAAAACAACAACAGAAGCAACGAGAACACAAAAAAUAGAAGGGAAAAAGCAGUGCUGUCGGAAAUCAGAUCUGACACGUCCACUCAUGUGAACAUCGCUCCGCCUUCGCAAACCCGUUGGCAACUAUAACGCGACAACCACCGUAGACGCACAAAGCUUCAUCCGACAUUCUUCCUUUGUUAAUAAACUGUGAGUUCAUUGAUUUAAAAAUGGAGUCACUUUCUACUGGUAAUACUAUGAUGGUAGCCAGGGACUCAUCAAACUAGGUUUUGCUGCAAUUAGAUAUGUUUCACAAUGGACUUUCUAGGAUGUUCGAGUGCAACACUGUAAAGGGUUAUGUUUGGGUUACUCUCAAACUAUGUGUGUGUGCUGAUGAUCAUCCUUGAAAUCUAAAUUUGGUUGGAUAAACCAACUCUUGGCAUUGCUCUCAUGAAUUUGAGGUAUAAAGAUGAAUGUGCAGUUGAAUCAAGGGGUAAAGUCAACGAUCCUGAUUUUGAUACUGAGAGUUAGCCAAGUUGAUGUUGGAAGAUCUUCUCCGAGUUGUUUGAAUCUUGAAGAAUUGGCUCAUAUGCCUCAUACUACCGAUAUGUAUGUUCUUGG